rnacentral:rRNA from 1 species
CGAUGUAGCAAUACAUUGGUGGCGACCGGCGCACGGGUAAGUAACGCGUAUGCAACCUACCUAUCAGAGGGGAAUAACCCGGCGAAAGUCGGACUAAUACCGCAUAAAACAGGGGUUCCACAUGGAAAUAUUUGUUAAAGAAUUAUCGCUGAUAGAUGGGCAUGCGUUCCAUUAGAUAGUUGGUGAGGUAACGGCUCACCAAGUCCACGAUGGAUAGGGGUUCUGAGAGGAAGGUCCCCCACACUGGUACUGAGACACGGACCAGACUCCUACGGGAGGCAGCAGUGAGGAAUAUUGGUCAAUGGGCGAGAGCCUGAACCAGCCAAGUCGCGUGAAGGAUGAAGGAUCUAUGGUUUGUAAACUUCUUUUAUAUGGGAAUAAAGUGAGGAACGUGUUCCUUUUUGUAUGUACCAUAUGAAUAAGCAUCGGCUAACUCCGUGCCAGCAGCCGCGGUAAUACGGAGGAUGCGAGCGUUAUCCGGAUUUAUUGGGUUUAAAGGGUGCGUAGGUGGUUAAUUAAGUCAGCGGUGAAAGUUUGUGGCUCAACCAUAAAAUUGCCGUUGAAACUGGUUGACUUGAGUAUAUUUGAGGUAGGCGGAAUGCGUGGUGUAGCGGUGAAAUGCAUAGAUAUCACGCAGAACUCCGAUUGCGAAGGCAGCUUACUAAACUAUAACUGACACUGAAGCACGAAAGCGUGGGGAUCAAACAGGAUUAGAUACCCUGGUAGUCCACGCAGUAAACGAUGAUUACUAGCUGUUUGCGAUACACAGUAAGCGGCACAGCGAAAGCGUUAAGUAAUCCACCUGGGGAGUACGCCGGCAACGGUGAAACUCAAAGGAAUUGACGGGGGCCCGCACAAGCGGAGGAACAUGUGGUUUAA